UGCUUCGAGAUGAGUAUUCCCACCCCCUUUGAGGGGUUAAGGCUCCCAGUAGACGACUGGGUUGAUAGGCCGGAUCUGGAAGCACCGUGAGGUGUGGAGGUGACCGGUACUAAUAGGCCGAGGGCUUGUCCU
rnacentral:rRNA from 1 species